rnacentral:rRNA from 1 species
AUGCUUUCACAACUUGACUUCAAAAUAUUUGGUUUGGAGACCAUCAAAGAUCAAUAUGUGCAUGAUGCUGAUUUUAAAGAUGUAAUGCAGAAUUGUAAAGAAGGAGGAAUGUGGAACAAGUUUGUUGUUAACGAUGGAUUUGUGUUUCGUGCUAACAAGCUAUGCAUUCCAGCUAGCUCCGUUCGUCUUUUGUUGUUGCAGGAGGCGCAUGGAGGAGGAUUAAUGGGACACUUUGGCGUGAAGAAGACGGAGGACGUACUUGCUACACAUUUCUUUUGGCCAAAGAUGAGACGGGAUGUUGAGCGUUUUAUUGCUCGCUGCACUACAUGUCAAAAAGCUAAGUCACGACUCAAUCCUCAUGGUUUAUAUAUGCCUUUGCCUGUACCUAGUGUUCCUUGGGAGGAUAUAUCUAUGGACUUUGUUUUAGGUUUACCUCGAACAAAGAAGGGGAGGGAUAGCAUAUUUGUUGUCGUGGAUAGAUUCUCGAAAAUGGCACACUUUAUACCAUGUCAUAAAAGCGAUGAUGCUGUUAAUGUUGCUAAUUUGUUCUUUUGUGAAAUUAAUCGUGAUACUAAAUUUCUUAGCCACUUUUGGAGAUGUUUAUGGGCUAAGUUGGGGACUAAACUGCUUUUUAGUACUACUUGUCACCCCCAAACUGAUGGACAAACUGAAGUAGUCAAUAGAACGUUGUCUACUAUGCUUAGGGCUGUUUUGAAGAAUAAUAAGAAAAUGUGGGAGGAAUGCUUGCCUCAUAUUGAAUUUGCUUAUAAUCGUUCAUUGCAUUCUACUACUAAGAUGUGCCCUUUUGAAGUUGUGUAUGGUUUCCUACCUCGUGCACCUAUUGAUUUGUUGCCUCUUCCAUCUUUGGAGAAGAUUAGUUUUGAUGCUAAACAACGUGCUGAAUUGAUUUUAAAAAUGCAUGAGUUAACUAAGGAAAACAUUGAGCGCAUGAAUGCUAAAUAUAAACUUGCUGGAGAUAAGGGUAGAAAACAUGUUGUGUUUGCACCUGGAGAUCUUGUUUGGUUACAUUUGCGUAAGGAUAGAUUUCCUGAUUUGCGCAAAUCAAAGUUAAUGCCACGUGCUGAUGGUCCCUUUAAGGUGUUAGAGAAAAUAAAUGAUAAUGCAUAUAAACUUGAGCUGCCUGCAGAUUUUGGGGUUAGUCCCACUUUUAACAUUGCAGAUUUGAAGCCUUAUUUGGGUGAGGAAGAUGAACUUCCGUCAAGGACGACUUCAUUUCAAGAAGGGGAGGAUGAUGAGGACAUCAAUACAAUUGUUACACCCACAGCCCCUGCUGCUAUACAUACUGGACCAAUUACUAGAGCUCGUGCACGCCAACUAAAUUACCAGGAAACAGACCCUCGUGGUCAGGUUGAUCGUGCUCCGGUAUUGAAAGUGCAACUCACUCCAAAGGAUUGCUCCAAAUGA